CAGCAGCCACGGGAACACGGAGGGAGCUAGCGUUGUUCGGAAUUACUGGGCGUAAAGCGCGCGUAGGCGGUUACUCAAGUCAGAGGUGAAAGCCCGGGGCUCAACCCCGGAACUGCCUUUGAAACUAGGUGACUAGAAUCUUGGAGAGGUCAGUGGAAUUCCGAGUGUAGAGGUGAAAUUCGUAGAUAUUCGGAAGAACACCAGUGGCGAAGGCGACUGACUGGACAAGUAUUGACGCUGAGGUGCGAAAGCGUGGGGAGCAAACAGGAUUAGAUACCCGGGUAGUCCCUGUCUCUUAUAC
rnacentral:rRNA from 1 species